rnacentral:lncRNA from 10 species
AAAAGCCCGACAAUUACACCGACUAGCCAACAUCAUAGGACUCCUGCAAUCCAGGCCAUCGCAGGCCAAGGUUUUUGAAGGAAGCCCUCAAAGAAAGGAAGACCCUUUUAUUAUCUGGAUUCAUCCUUGGCCAUCAGUGAUGGUGAAAGCAACAGAUGUCAGAUGUCAGCCCCUGGCUUCCUGCCUUACCGUAGAGGGAUACUCGACAGACAGACUGGACAGAUCACUCAUGCUGGGGAAAGCCAGGUGUCAUGUCUUGGGGAAUCCAGGUGUUAUGUCUUAAGGACAGGCUGGCAGACCUGUGCAUACGCCCAUGUAGCGAGAAACUAGACCCUCAGCUCAAGACACUGAAAGAAACCUCAUGAAACAACUUGAAGCUCUGACCCUGAACCACCUAGCUAAACUGCUCUUAGAUACCUGAUUCUCAGAUACUAUUGAGAAAAUAAACAAUAAUUAUUUUAUGUUGCUACAUUUUGGGAGUAAUUUGUUACAUGAUAAUAGCUACACGUUGAAGAGCAAAUUAUUCACGCUCUGUUUUUCAGUUUCCUCAUCUGCACAAUGGAGUACCGAUUUUAUGAUGUGGUUGUGAGGAUUUAAGAGAUCAUCCACAGAGAAGUGCAACAGAGUACAGGGUCAGAAGUCAGCACCCC